rnacentral:rRNA from 1 species
GAGAGCGGCGCACGGGUGCGGAACACGUGUGCAACCUGCCUUUAUCUGGGGGAUAGCCUUUCGAAAGGAAGAUUAAUACCCCAUAAUAUAUUGAGUGGCAUCACUUAAUAUUGAAAACUCCGGUGGAUAGAGAUGGGCACGCGCAAGAUUAGAUAGUUGGUAGGGUAACGGCCUACCAAGUCAGUGAUCUUUAGGGGGCCUGAGAGGGUGAUCCCCCACACUGGUACUGAGACACGGACCAGACUCC